UACGUAGGGUGCAAGCGUUAACCGGAAUUACUGGGCGUAAAGCGUGCGCAGGCGGCGAUGUAAGUCAGAUGUGAAAUCCCCGGGCUCAACCUGGGAACUGCAUUUGUGACUGCCUCGCUGGAGUGCGGCAGAGGGGGAUGGAAUUCCGCGUGUAGCAGUGAAAUGCGUAGAUAUGCGGAGGAACACCGAUGGCGAAGGCAAUCCCCUGGGCCUGCACUGACGCUCAUGCACGAAAGCGUGGGGAGCAAACAGG
rnacentral:rRNA from 1 species